UACUGGAAAAAAUUCCCCUAAAAAAUCCUGGGAAAUCGCCCCAAAAAAAGCUGGAAAUUGUGCCAGAAAUACCGGGGGAAAUCACACUAAAUAUCUGGGGAAAUUGCCCCAAAAAUAACGGGAAAUUGCACCAGAAAUACCGGGGGAAAUCACACUAAAUAUCUGGGGAAAUUGCCCCAAAAUAAUGGGAAAUUGCACAAGAUAUACUGGAAAAAAUUCCCCUAAAAAACCUGGGAAAUCGCCCCAAAAAAAGCUGGAAAUUGCACCAGAAAUACCGGGGGAAAUCACAUUAAAUAUCUGGGGAAAUUGCCCCAAAAAUACCAGGAAAUUGCACCAGAAAUACAGGGGGAAAUUACCCCAAAAAUACCAGGAAAAUCACCCCAAAAUACCCUGGGAAAUUACCCCAAAAUCCUGGGAAAUUGCCCCAAAAUAUCCUGGGAAAUCGGCCCAAAAACAA
rnacentral:lncRNA from 1 species